GCCGGGUGUGGUAGCGCACACCUGUAAUCCUAGCUGCUUGGGAGGCUGAGGCACGAGAAUCAUUUGAACCCAGGAGGCAGAGGCUGCAGUGAGCCAAGAUCACGCCACUGCACUCCAGCCUGGGCAACAGAGUGAGACUCUGUCUCAA
rnacentral:SRP_RNA from 1 species